UGGCGACCGGCGCACGGGUGAGUAACGCGUAUGCAACCUGCCCGAUACCGGGGUAUAGCCCAUGGAAACGUGGAUUAAUACCCCAUAGUACUUUUAUCCUGCCUGGGAUGUGAGUUAAAUGUUCAAGGUAUCGGAUGGGCAUGCGUCCUAUUAGUUAGUUGGCGGGGUAACAGCCCACCAAGACGAUGAUAGGUAGGGGUUCUGAGAGGAAGGUCCCCCACAUUGGAACUGAGACACGGUCCAA
rnacentral:rRNA from 1 species